AUAUUAGCAAUAUUUAGAUUGCCCCCUCUUUUUAUUCAGUUUAUUACUUCUAUUCUAGACCCUAUCCCUAUGGUUUAUUCUUAUGAAAUAUCAUAUAAAAUAGUGUUUUGACAGAAGCGCGCGGUGUAAUUCCAUUGAUUUUUGGAUUUCGAUCGUAUCUAAGAUCCUUUUUUUAUCUGGGUUGCUAACUCAAUGGUAGAGUACUCGGCUUUUAAGUGCGACUAUGAUCUUUUACACAUUUGGAUGAAACAACAAAUUCGUCCAGACUCUUGGUAGAGUCUAGAAGACCACGACUGAUCCUCAAAGGUAAUGAAUGGAAAAAAUAGCAUGUCGUAAUAAAAUCAAUCUUUUUUGAAUGGAAUCCAAAAUUACGAUUUUCUGGGUCUAAUGAAUAAAUGGAUAGAGCCUGGCUCCAAUUCUGGUAAAAUAAAAA